rnacentral:rRNA from 1 species
CAGCAGCCGCGGUAAUACGGAGGGCGCGAGCGUUACCCGGAUGUAUUGGGCGUAAAGGGCUCGCAGGCGGUUUCUUAAGUCUGAUGUGAAAGCCCCCGGCUCAACCGGGGAGGGUCAUUGGAAACUGGGAAACUUGAGUGCAGAAGAGGAGAGUGGAGUUCCACGUGUAGCGGUGAAAUGCGUAGAGAUGUGGAGGAACACCAGUGGCGAAGGCGACUCUCUGGUCUGUAACUGACGCUGAGGAGCGAAAGCGUGGGGAGCGAACAGGAUUAGAUACCCGAGUAGUCCCUGUCUCUUAUAC